GUUGACUGUUGUGUUUUCAGCAGUUUGGUGUUCCUCUUCAUUGGAUCUGCUUUCAUGUCACCAGUCUAAUCCUCUGGACCCCCUGUUCAGCGUUAACAGGGGAAGGUGAAGAAUGAAAGAUCUAGAGCAGCUGAAGAAACCUGGCAACAUCCUCCCCUUGAAAGAGCUCUUGAUCUGCUGUAGCAGUCUGAUCUCCCUUCUGGCUUCGCUCCCCUCUCCCUCCUUCACUUCUUCAACUGCAUAAAA